rfam:Parvimonas micra strain KCOM 1535, complete genome.
ACGUCAUAUGAUAAAGGUAUAGUAAUUUUAUUAUAAUAACCUUAAUUUUAGCAAUCAAAGAGAAAUUAUGGUAUAAU